rnacentral:lncRNA from 1 species
CUCCUCUGCUAACAUCCUCCCGGCUAAAGUGAGUGGCUGGCUGAGCCCAGAGUCCCAGGAGGUGGGCACGACGACCCUGGAUGGCACAGGCUGAGGAGGCAGGGAGGGGUGAGGACUGGGGCCCUGUGCGCUGACCGAGACCCCUGGACCUGAGCUCCAUCCCACCCCUCCCUGGCCCAGGGCCCUGCUUCCUUCAAGGGUCACUCCUGCAGUCGUCAUUCUAUCUUCGUCCGACCAAUAUUUAUUGAGCAUUUGCAACAUGGCAGACCCUGUUCUAGACAUGGGGACACAGCAGCACAUAAAGUGACAAAGUCCCUGCCCUUUGGGAGCUUACAUUUUUUCUUUUUAAAAGAUUUUAUUUUUUUCCUUUUUCUCCUCAAAGCCCCCCAGUACAUAGUUGUAUAUUCUUCGUUGUGGGUCCUUCUAGUUGUGGCACGUGGGAUGCUGCCUCAGCGCGGUUUGAUGAGCAGUGCCAUGUCCACGCCCAGGAUUCGAACCAACGAAACACUGGGCCGCCUGCAGCAGAGUGUGCGACUUAACCACUCCGCCAUGGGGCCAGCCCCAUGGGAGCUUACACUUUUGAGGCAAUGACACCCAAUAAACAGAGAAACAAAGGGCCGUGAAGGGCACUGGGAAGUCCGGAAAGUGCCACGAAGAAACGGGAAGCAGAUUAGCCCUGAGCUGACUGCUGCCACUCCUCCUCUUUUUGCUGAGGAAGACUGGCCCUGAGCACACAUCCAUGCCCAUCUUCCUCUACUUUAUAUGUGGGAUGCCUGCCACAGCAUGGCGUGCCAAGCAUUGCCGUGUCCGCACCCGGGAUCCGAACCGGCGAACCCCGGGCCACCAAAGCGGAACGUGCGCACUUAACCGCUGCACCACGGGCCGGCUCUGACACCAUGUAUUGAAAAAGGCUAAGCCUCAAUCUGUCUGACUCAUGCAGGACUGUGAGGAGCAGAGAUCCCUAAUCCCUCACAGGAAGUAAAAAAUAAACUUUUAGUGUGUUUAGCAAAUGAAAUUUGCAGGUUUAUCUCUUAUACAGGUUAGUAUUCCUUUAACUAAGACAGAAAUUGGUCCUAGGAGUGGGGUGUUACCAUAAUGAAAAUCGACAAUGUUUGGCAUUGGUUCGUAGCUGGGGGGCAGGUGAGGAGGAAACCAUUGUCGAGGUCUGGAAAUAUGGAGGCCCGUGCUCUGUAAGGGUGACACAUUUAGUAGAACAGUUGCCUGAGACCAGCAGGCCAGCUGUCCUCUGAGCCUGUCACUCCUCGGGAAGAG